UUCACUCGCGCACAUGGCUGCACGCAGAUCGUCUUCGCGCCACUUUUGCUAAUUUACCAUUUCGCACAAUAACGUGGGCCGCGUGCGGGCUCGCCGUAAAAGUUUUGAGUCUCAGUUUGGCUGCCCGGACGACGCGCGCGUGUGAAGAUGGAGGAGUUCGCGGAACUUCAGCGCAAGUUGCCGAACCCCCAGCUGGAGAUGGGGCGUCCGGCGGGGUCAGACGGUGUCACGGUGCUGCCAAAGUGCUUACAGUGCAGGUAGCGCUAUGACUGGUCUACUGCAGUGGAGGCACUUCUAGCAGGACCCUGGCGAUGGCGGCGACCCAGCGGACGGCCGCCUGUGACUGGCUUUGUGCUAAGGUGCAUUUAGUGCAGAUAGUGGAGUAGACUAGACACCUACUGCCCUAAGUGCUCCUUUUGGCAUGAGGGGCUGUGACUAGCAUCAGAAGGUGUGAAGAAAAUUAUUUUCCUUUUAUUUUUUAACCCCCAGGACCUACCCCCCACCCCCACCCCCCUUCCCAGUUUGGUGCAGUUCUCUGCUAGUUUUGCAUAGUUGCAUUACAAGAAAACAUGAGUUGUGCAAAUCUAUGCAAAACUGAUGGUGGCCUGCUGCGUCUCCCGCUCAGAGCUCCCGCAGACGGACCCCGAGGCCGGGUCGCCGGGCGACCCGCUAAGUUCGAGCAGUGCUAAAGUGCUUAUAGUGCAGGUAGUGUGUGUCAUCUACUGCAGUGUCAGCACUUAAAGUACUUCCUAGCUAAACGCAUCUGCAAGCAGCCAUGCUGAGGACACGCCCCUCGCACCCACCCACAUGCCGCUCUCGGUCAGUUUUGCUGGUUUGCAUUCAGCUUGUUCCACCGGCCGCUGUGCAAAUCCAUGCAAAACUGACGGGAGGCGGUGCGGCCCGAGGCUCUGCCCAUGCUGAUGUAGCUCCUCCUCCAACCCUGGUCCCUUCCUGCGCAGGCUGGGAUUGGCGUCAAUGCUGGACCCAGAAGCGUAUUGCACUAGUCCCGGCCUGUGGAGGACGGCACGGAUCACGCCGCAGCCGGUGAGCGGAGUAGCAGAGUGAUCGCACGCUCCGGACACGGGAGUAUCUCGGCUUCCUGGGAUUUUUAAGCAUGGUUUUGAGUGUUGCAUGUUUUCCAUGAUUGACUCCAUUAUGUGUGAUUUUCAAAGGUGUUGUGCUACAUCUGACAAGCUUUGGGGAUACGUUUUUUAAUCAUUUCCAGGAGCAGUUGAACUUCCUGAACUAUUAUUCAAAACCUUGUAUACGAGGGUUUUCUUUUUUUAACCCUUUGCAUUACUCAGCUGUAAUUUGGCAAUGUAUUGAUUAAAAAAGAUGACUACUGUA